AUGCUAACCUCGCUGAGGACAUUGAUUGUAAAAGAAUCAGUUGGUCUAGUUGGACCACUAGGAGGAUGUCAGAGUGAUGUGGAAUGGCAGCUCCCUGUUGAGUAUAUCAAGAUCUACAAAUUAAAUGGUAAUACUGGCAAGGAACUGACAGAGCUCCUCCCCCACCUCCCAAAGCUCUCCAAAUUGGUAAUAUGGUGGUGUAAAAGCAUAAAAAAGCUGGUGGUGGGGGUGGAUGUGCAACAAACAACACAAGAAGCAUCAGAGAUGGGGGGAGGUGAAAUAACAGCAGCAGCAGAGGAAGAGGAUGAUGGGGUGCUGCUCCUCCCAGCUCAUCUCUGUGACUCACUACGGGAAUUGUGGUUCAAUUACUGCCCAGAGCUGGUCCUGGUUGACCCUCCAACUCUUGUUCCUGGUGGAGGAUGGCUCCAAGCCUUGCGAUCCCUCCAGAGAUUAACAAUACGGUGGUCCCCAAAGUUUCUAUCCACCUUCUCCUUUUCCCGUCACCUUUUUCCUUCCUCCCUGCAGUUCCUGGAGCUUGUGGGUGUGCAAGGUAUGGGAACACUGGAGCCCCUCUCAAACCUCUCCUCUCUUAUUAGAUUAGAAUUGGGUAAUUGUGGAGAGGAUCUGAAAUGUCAGGUCUUGUGGUCUCUCAUUACCACCGGCGGCCAACUCAAGGAAUUAGAAGUCAGGGGCAGCCAUAGAUUUUUUGCUGAUUGGGAUCCCAAUCCCAGACGGGCUUUGGAGGAUGCUGAGGGAGGUGAAGAGCAGCAGACACAGAUUGUUUCAUCCACACUGCAUGAGCUCGGGACAGAUGACAUAGCAGGAUUUCUUGCUGCACCCGUCUGUAGAUUCCUCUCUUCCUCCCUCACCAAGCUGAAACUUCGAGGGAAUUGGUGUGAAGGGAUGGAGCGGUUCAGCAAGGAGCAAGAGGAUGCCCUUCAACUCCUCUCCUCCCUCCAGGAACUUGACUUUUCAUGUUUCAAGGACCUUCACCAACUCCCUGCAGGGAUGAGCAACCUUACCAGCCUCAAGAAAUUAACAAUCUAUGAAUGUCCAGCCCUCUCAUCAUUGCCCAAGGAUGGCCUCCCCAAAUCA
rnacentral:rRNA from 1 species